GGGGAAUAUUGCACAAUGGGCGAAAGCCUGAUGCAGCGACGCCGCGUGAGGGAUGAAGGCCUUAGGGUUGUAAAGCUCUUUUGUCCGGGAAGAUAAUGACUGUACCGGAAGAAUAAGCCCCGGCUAACUUCGUGCCAGCAGCCGCGGUAAUACGAAGGGGGCUAGCGUUGCUCGGAAUCACUGGGCGUAAAGGGCGCGUAGGCGGACUUUUAAGUCGGAGGUGAAAGCCCAGGGCUCAACCCUGGAAUUGCCUUCGAUACUGGGAGUCUUGAGUUCGGAAGAGGUUGGUGGAACUGCGAGUGUAGAGGUGAAAUUCGUAGAUAUUCGCAAGAACACCGGUGGCGAAGGCGGCCAACUGGUCCGAAACUGACGCUGAGGCGCGAAAGCGUGGGGAGCAAAC
rnacentral:rRNA from 1 species